UGGUCGAGGUGGUUUAUAACAGUGAAACAGAGCCCACGAAUAACUCCAGCAUAAUCAAACACAGACAGAGACUCAUCAACAACAAUGUCUACUACAAUAUAUGUUGAGAAUUAGUAAAGAAGAACACAACAUAUGAAGAAGCUUGAGGAAGAAGUAAUGCCAGCAAUGCAAUGAGACACGUCAGACGCAGGACCACAAGACUCAAGUAGCCGUUUGCGCUUGGUCACUAAAGCAAACGUUUGAAUGGCUAAAGCAACUCUUGUCUGGUUGUGGUAAAGUUACUCGCAGGAUAAGCUCUACCCAUUUGGAGCUAGAAGACAAAUGUGAGAGGCAACUUCCUGGAAGCUGCAAAGGAGCGUCUUGAGGACUCAACGGGAAGGAUCCAGAAGGAACCUAGUGAUAUGUUGUGUUUUUAUCGGUUUUGAGUCUUUGUUUUUUUUCCUAGAUCAUAUAUUUUAUAGAGUCAAAGUUUGUUUUUUAGAGUCUUUUAGUCCUUUAUCGAUUCUUUACAGGUUUUAGGUUGCUUUGGAGGAAAACGAGAUGUUUUGGGAUAAAAACACACAUUUGGAGAUGCAGUGUCGGUUAGAAGUAUCAAACGUUUGGCCUCCGAUGGAAGACUUACCACCGUUAGAUCUUUCUGAAAUUUUGACAAAAGCUAUAUGCAGAUGUUAGCUUGAGGUUCCAUGUGAUUUGAAGGAAAUCUAACGGUGCAUUCAAUAGUUAUACCCGAAUUAGUGAAGACAGGUCAUUCUGGCGAGCAUUUGAAGCAGUUGCAGAGCUGAAGACCAGAAGCUCCAGAUCGAUCGAUCCCUUGGUGGAUCGAUCGAUCCACUUCCCCGGCAACGGCGCCAACUUGAUUGCUCGAGUAAUCAAGUUGGCGCCGUUGCCGGGGACCAAUUGCGUUACCUAAGGAUUUAGGAUUAGUUUUUAGUCUAAAGCAUUUUUUUUUUUUAUUACUAACUAUCACACUCGUUUUUCUUUUAGGUGUUGGCUAUGGAAUAUAAUGAUUGGCUACAAGAAGAAGAGGAUGAGCCAUAUGUGGAGCCACCAUUUGAUGAGAGUGUUCUUACACCGGAACAAAAAGUGAAGUUGGAUGAACUUCACAACGAACAUCCGACAUUGGUAAGGAGUGAUUUAGCGAUUUUGAUCCGGUUGAACCUCUUAUCACACCGAGCAUCCUGUGAAGGAAGAGAAAUCACAUUCUAUGAAGAACAAGAAGCCCAUGCUCUUGAAAAGGUAAUAUAUUGGGUUCCACCAAGCGAACUAGAAGGUACAUGCAAUUCAACCCUUGAAAUUUAUGAUGUUGAGGAUAUUCAGAUACCAUGCAUUGAAGAUGUGACUUCUAGUUUGCAUACUCCCAUGAUCAUUGAUGAAUGUUAUGAUUUGAUAUGUGAGUCGCAACAACUAGAUGCUUUAAGAGCAGCAAAACUUGCUAGGGAUUACCAUGAUAUAUGUUUUAAUAUUGAAUAUCAUUGUGCUUUGAAUGUUCAUGAUCUCGAGUUUAAGUUUUCAAUGCCUGAAAUAUCUAGAUCUCUUCUUGAUGAAUCUUUCCUAGGAGUUGUGCUUGAUAUUGAUAAGAUUUUGCAUGUGAAUGAAGAUCUUGAGGUUGAUUAUAUGGAUGUAGAUAUUGUGCUAUAUGAGAUUAAUGGGGAUGAAGUUGAUUAUUUUGUUCAAACCUCAUGUAACCAGGAAAUUGACUUCAUUUUUCCUCCAAAUGCAUUUGAUCCUCAUGAGCAUUCAACCAUCAAGGAAUAUUUCAAAGUAUAUGCUACAUUUGUAGUAAUUUUUCUUGAUAUGAAUUUUAUCUCUUUACCAUGGAUAAUUGUGUGUUACUUGGCACAUCUCAUUUCUUUCACUAACAGGAGAAGGACAAAAGGUCCACUGGCACAACCUUUUGAUUCUUAUGAUUAAUAUUUUGUGUUGAGCGGUCAAGCUGACGACCUAAAACAAGCGCUUGGUGGGAGGCAACCCAUAAUGUAUCCCAAGUAAGUUUUCUCUUUUUCUUUUUCGCAUUUUCAUUUUUUUUUCUUUUGAGUGUGUAUGGCAUCAUUUCUUCGAAUUAUUUUCACACCGAGUCGGUGUGAAGCAAGUCGGGGGGAGGUUGUCAUUUGUCUACUAAUCGAGUUUGCUUUGGUUGUUUCUUUUGAUGUUUUCGUUUGAGUCAGUCAGUUCGUUUUUAUCGAGUCAAAAAUUGUGUCUUUUAUUGAGUCAAAAUCUGUUUGAGAAUAUGAUCUUUUCUUGGGGAAUUGCACCUAGCUUGAUUUCAUUGCCUUGAGACCAUUUUAGCAUUAUUCGAUAACUUGGAAGUUCAGGAAAAUCCAUGACUAGAUCACUCUAUAGUAGUCCCUAUCUCUUUGAAAUUCGGAUGAAUUGAGCUUUAUCUUAUAUACUUGAACUUAAUCUGGACUUAAUUUAUCUCACUUAGGGGCUUGAGAAUCAUGUAAUGGAUCAUACAUUCAGAGUUUUGUUUGCAUCAUUUUUACCACUCUUUGCUAACUCUGAAUGGCUAGACUCAUUUUUAGUCUAGUACCACACCUGUUUCCCCACCCAUUGUUUGAAACCUCAUGCAUUCUUAUAUGAUCAUCAUGAUAUACAUCCAUGUGCGAAAACUACGGAGUAUACGGACCGACAUAGCUUUCCUUCUGUUAGGAUAGUGAGUUGUAGUUUACUGGUUGCUGAUAUAUGAUGAGAUUGAUCCACUAUGGUUUAGAGGUUGUAUUCAUGGGAUAUGUUGUUAUCGCUUGCGGUUUUUCUUGAUGCAGAUUAUGUGAGACACCGGUUCCACUCCCCCGUUCAAAAAAAAAAAAAAAAAAAAAAAGAAAAAAGAAAGAAAGAAAAAAACGGAAAUGAAAAGAAUAAUGGGAAAGGAGAAUGAAUGGAACCGAAAAUGUCGAGUUGAUAUUAGUUACGUUGAUAAGCAUCAAGGGUACGCAUUGAUUUGAUUGAGGUAGUGUGUUGGUUGAUUUGAUCCGAGCUUAAGGGAAGCUAUGUACCUCCUAGUUGGUCUGUGUCUCACUGUGAUUUCGCAUAAUGACAUGCAUCCGUUUUACACUGUUUGAGAACCAGAAACACUUGAGCCACCGAAUAUUAGCCUUUUUUUUACCAAGCCCAUAACGUGUUUGAUACCCCCUUUGUGAGAGUACACGCCGCUGCUAAUGAAUGUUAAAAAGUUAAGUUAUCUGACUCUGAAAGUUCUUUUAGAUCUCGGGACUUAAUUUUGUUGCUAUGGUUAUGGCGAAGUACAGUCUAGUACGGUUUCAUGAGUUUUGUGAUAGUGGUUUGCAGGCAAUUGAUAAGAGCAUGAUCCCAAAGAAAAUGUGAGUUCUUGUGUUUUCAAACCUCUUCUCUUGAUAAGGAUUUCUGCUUUCCUUGAGGACAAGCAAAGAUCUAAGUCGGGGGGAGUUGAUAUGUUGUGUUUUUAUCGGUUUUGAGUCUUUGUUUUUUUUCCUAGAUCAUAUAUUUUAUAGAGUCAAAGUUUGUUUUUUAGAGUCUUUUAGUCCUUUAUCGAUUCUUUACAGGUUUUAGGUUGCUUUGGAGGAAAACGAGAUGUUUUGGGAUAAAAACACACAUUUGGAGAUGCAGUGUCGGUUAGAAGUAUCAAACGUUUGGCCUCCGAUGGAAGACUUACCACCGUUAGAUCUUUCUGAAAUUUUGACAAAAGCUAUAUGCAGAUGUUAGCUUGAGGUUCCAUGUGAUUUGAAGGAAAUCUAACGGUGCAUUCAAUAGUUAUACCCGAAUUAGUGAAGACAGGUCAUUCUGGCGAGCAUUUGAAGCAGUUGCAGAGCUGAAGACCAGAAGCUCCAGAUCGAUCGAUCCCUUGGUGGAUCGAUCGAUCCACUUCCCUGACGGAUGAGAAACGUUCCAGACACUGCUGGAUCGAUCGAUCCUCCUUUGGAUCGAUCGAUCCCUUCCCCAGACGUAUUUUUGGCCCAGAUUUGACCCGAGUCACUCCAGAUCCGACCCGGCUCGUCUCCUAUUGUUUUAAAACCCUAAGCCCGACUUUUGAGACAUUAUCCUUGAUAUUUUUCAGUUCUAAACUUUGUUCUUUGGUUUGUAAACAAUUUUGGGCAAAGGAAUUCAUCCUCUUGACACUUGGAGAAGAUUUCUAAACCCUAUCUUGUUAUUUCUACAAUUUCAUCAUGUUUUCUUCAUUGAUUUUUGUUAUCUCUUUUUCUAUGUGUGAGUAGUUCUCCUAUUGGGUUUUAGGGUUCUAAUUAGGGGAUUCAAUGGAUUGAUGGAUUGAUUGUUGUUUGGAAUUCUCAUUCUAUAGGUUUUUUGAUUCACAUGUUCUUAAUGCUAUAAUAGAAUUGAUCACCCUGUUGUAGAUUCUAGGUUUUUCUAUGCAUCAAAAGUGUUCGAUAGAAUGCCUGAAAGAAUGUGAAUUGAGCAAUGUAUUUCUAGCCAACGAAAGUUGACGUUAGGACGCAUUGUGAACUUAAUGAACUUGUUUGAUAAUGCGAAUUUGACUAGGAAAUUACAUGCGAAAGUUUAGUAAUCGAGUAGUCAAAUUUAGUGAUUAAUGUCUUGAAAGAGAAUUAGUCUAAAUGUGUUCAUGUUCAACAACGGUGCUUAAUCAUUGAAUUCCUUGUCUCAUGUUUCCAUUAUUCGUUGAUCUCUGAAAUACCCUAAUGCCCAAUGUCUUUAAUUCAUAAGUUUAAUCGUUUAAAUUACUUGCAUUUUUACUUAUAACUCUGAAAACCCAAACAAAACAAAUCUUUCCGCUUUAGCUCAGAACGAGUCUCGGAAGUCUUUAGUGUACCAUUGGUUCUUGUGGAUCGACCCCGUAUAUACUACCUUGCGGUUAAGUGUAUCGGGUAAUUACUCGAGCAAUCACCUAGGUUAAGUUCUCUAUGUCUAUUUAAGCUGAGCAUUGGAGAGAGAGAGAGAGAGAGGGUUAAGAAACGCAGAGACAUUCAAAUGGGAGUAAACUUGUAUUGAGUGUUCUUGGCGAAACAGAGAGUGAAAGAGAGUGAAUCUGAGUUAGCUUUGUAAAGGGCUGUGAGGGUGAGAAAUCUCUUUGUAAAUCUCAAAGGUUAUAGUGGAUUCUGGGAAAGAUUUCCCGGCCCAGACGUAGCACCGUUGGUGUGAACUGGGUUAACAAUCUCGUGUGUGUGCUCUGUUUUUCGUGUUAGCAAAGUUCUUCCAUUUAUUCUAAACACUCAAAGCUCUGUUCUUUUCAAGUUCUGAUUCUAAACGAAGGUAAAAUUCAUUACAAGCCUUGGUAGAAGUUGGUCUAAACUUCACAAAGUGGUAUCAGAGCGUUGGUUCUUUGUAUUGGCGGUUCUGUAAGGAUCUUACAAAACAAAGAAGCCAUGUCGUCGACAAAGGUUAAAAUUGAGAAGUUCGAUGGACGUGGAGACUACACACUAUGGAAGGAGAAGCUCAUGGCUCACAUGGAUCUAUUGGGUCUAACAGUAGAUCUCAGGGAAACACAGGUGGUCUCAGAUCCAAAGGAGUUAGAAGAGGAAGGGAAAGAACCAGAAAAAGGAGAGAAAGAAGAUCUGAUGGAGGAAAAGAGACAGAAAGCAAGGAGCACCAUUGUUUUAAGCGUCUGAGAUCAGGUGUUGAGGAAGAUCAAGAAAGAGAAGACUGCAGCUUCUAUGUUGAAUGCCUUAGACAAACUGUACAUGUCCAAGGCUCUUCCAAACCGCAUUUAUCUUAAACAAAAGUUAUAUAGCUUCAAGAUGCAGGAGAACUUAUCUGUUGAAGGAAACAUAGACGAGUUCUUGCGUCUUAUUGCUGAUCUUGAAAACACAAACGUGUUAAUCUCUGAUGAAGAUCAAGCCAUCCUGCUACUGAUGUCAUUACCAAAGCAGUUUGAUCAACUGAAAGAUACUCUGGAGUAUACCUCAGGAAGAGCAACAUUGUCUGUUGAUGAAGUUGUAGCAGCUAUAUACUCAAAGGAGCUGGAGCUCGGCUCAAACAAGAAGAGUAUACGGGGACAAGCAGAGGGUCUGUAUGUCAAGGAGAAAAAUGAGACAAGAGGCAGACCAGAGCGGAGAGAAAAAGGCAACAGGAACAACCGAUCAAGAUCAAGAUCUAAAGAGAAAAAAAAGUGUUGUUGGAUUUGUGGAGAGGAAGGUCAUUUCAAGACCUCAUGCCCUAACAAGGAAAAAUCACAAGUCAAAGGGAAAGACCAAGCCAGUAGUAGCAAAGGAGAGGCUGCAACGGUAAAGGGAAGUUCAUCGGAUGCAGUAGCACAUUAUGUGUUAGAAGCACUCCAUUCAACAGAUGUAAAUCUUGAGAAUGAGUAGAUCAUGGACACUGGAUGUAGUUACCACAUGACUCACAAGAAGGAAUGGUUUGAGUAUCUGAGUGAUGAAGCAGUAGGCUCUGUAAGGAUGGGAAACAAGACUACCUCAAAAGUCAAAGGCAUUGGAAAUGUCAGGAUCAGAAACAGAGAUGGCUCAACUGUGGUGCUCACUCAUGUAAGGUACAUUCCUGACAUGGAUCGUAAUUUACUUUCUAUGGGAACCUUGGAGGAACAAGGAUGCAGUUUUGAGUCUAAUAAUAGAGUCUUAGUAAUUAAGGAAGGAAAUAGGACUCUAUUUGUUGGUAACAGGCAUGAAAAGCUUUACUUACUUCAGGGUAGACCAGAGAAUGGUCAUUUGUUGAAUGAUGAAAGAAAGAAUGAUGACACAGUCUUAUGGCACAUAAGACUAGGACAUAUUAGUCAGAAGAAUAUGGAUAUUUUGGUCAAGAAAGGGUACCUAGACCGAAAGAAAGUCUCAAGAUUUGAGAUGUGUGAAGACUGCAUCUAUGGUAAAGCAAGAAGAUUGAGUUUUGUUAUGGCUACACAUGGUACAGAAGAUAAGUUAGACUACGUUCACUCUGACUUAUGGGGAGCUCCAUCGGUUCCGUUAUCCUUGGGAAAAUGUCAGUACUUCAUCUCAUUCAUAGAUGACUACUCAAGAAAGGUGUAGGUGUAUUUUCUCAAGCACAAGGAUGAAGCUUUUGGUACCUUUGCUGAAUGGUGUGUCAUGGUAGAAAACCAAACAGAGAGGAAGAUUAAAAUUCUAAGAACCGACAAUGGACUUGAAUUUUGCAAUCUUCAGUUCAGUGAGUUCUGCAAAGAGAGAGGCAUUGUCAGACAUAGAACAUGUGCCUAUACGCCUCAACAAAACGGCGUUGCAGAAAGGAUGAAUCGCACAAUAAUGGAGAAAGUCAGGAGCAUGCUGAGUGAUUCUGGCUUACCAAAGACGUUUUGGGCUGAAGCUACAAGCACAGCAGUAACCCUCAUCAAUAAGACACCCUCAUCUGCAAUUAACUUUGAGAUCCCUGACAAGAAAUGGUCAGGUAAGCCUCCUGUCUAUAGCUAUCUAAAAAGAUUUGGCUGUGUUGCUUUUGUUCAUGCAGAUGAAGGCAAGUUGGUCCCUAGAGCAAAGAAAGGAGUUUUCUUAGGCUAUCCUACAGGAGUAAAAGGGUACAAAGUCUGGUUAAUGGAGGAGAAGAAGUGUAGUGUCAGCAGAAAUGUAGCAUUUCAAGAAAAUGCAGUCUACAAGGAUUUAAUUCAGAUGAAUAAAGACUCUGAUCAAGAACAAGAAGAAAUAUCAAGUGGGUCUCUAGACAUUGAUCUUGAAGAAACAGGUGACAUGAGUUCUGGUGGAGAUCUCUCGGAAGAAACAGGAUCCCUGGGAGAUCACCCACCAUCUCAAGGAAGUCACCAACCUGAAGAAACAGAGAUCAAUGAGGAAGUGGUAAACAAUUCACCAGAAAGUUACCAUUUGGUCAGAGACAGAACAAGGAGGGAGAUUAAAGCUCCAAGACAUUUUGAUGUGGAAGGAUACUACAGUGAGUUCACUGAUGAUGAUGAAGAGUACUUUGAUGCGGAAGCCCUAGUCACCACAUUUGAUGGAGACACCAUUGAGCCGGCAAAUUAUCAAGAAGCUCUAAGAGAUGAUGAUUGGGAAUUGUGGAAGGGCGGCAUGGAUGAAGAAAUGGAUUCUCUGGUGAAAAAUCACACAUGGACUGUAGUCACUAAGCCUGCAGGACAGAGAGUCAUAGGCUGCAAGUGGAUUUUCAAGCGUAAGCCUGGAAUUCCUAGGGUUGAAAAGCCAAGAUUUAAAGCAAGGCUCGUUGCUAAAGGGUAUGCACAAAGAGAAGGAGUAGACUACACUGAUAUAUUCUCACAUGUGGUGAAACAUGUGUCUAUAAGGAUACUGCUAGCCAUUGUUGCAGAAGAGGACUAUGAACUUGAACAGUUAGACGUCAAAACCACAUUUCUUCAUGGAGAGCUAGAAGAAAAGAUUUACAUGGAAGCUCCAGAAGGUAUUGAAAGUCAAUUCAAGUCUGAUCAAGUGUGUCUCCUGAACAAGACCUUGUAUGGUCUGAAGCAGUCACCAAGGAGAUGGAAUCAAAAGUUUGACAGUUACAUGCUGGAAAUUGGUUUUGAAAGAAGUCCACGUGACAAUUGUGCAUACAUCAAGACAACGGAGGAUGGUUCUAAGGUCUACUUACUCUUAUAUGUCGAUGACAUGUUAGUUGUUGCGAGAGAUAUGAAAGUUAUCUCGGAGUUAAAGCAUAAACUAAGUGAGAAAUUUGAAAUGAAGGACAUUGGAGCUGCAAAGAAGAUAUUGGGCAUGGAGAUCUCUAGAGACAGAGCUAAGGGAACUCUCACUUUGUCUCAAGGAGAUUAUUUAAGCAAGGUACUGGAAGUCUACAAUAUGGAGCAAUGCAAGUCUGUUUUGACACCUCUAGGUGCUCACUUAAAAAUGCAUGCUGCAACAGAGCAACAAUUGCUCAAAGAUGAAGAAUACAUGAAGUCAGUACCUUACUCUAAUGCCGUGGGAAGCAUUAUGUACUCCAUGAUCGGAACAAGACCAGAUUUGGCGUAUUCUGUUGGUAUUAUCAGUUGGUUCAUGAGCAAACCGAUCAAGGAGCAUUGGUUGGGAGUUAAGUGGGUACUUAGGUACAUUAAGGGAAGUCUCAAGAUGAAGUUAUGUUACAAGAAAGGAGCAGACUUCAUACUUAGAGGAUACUGUGACUCAGACUAUGCUGCAAAUAUUGACAACAGAAGGUCAAUAAGUGGAAUGGUGUUCACACUUGGUGGAAGCACCAUAAAUUGGAGGUCAUGCUUACAGAAAGUAGUGGCUAUUUCUACUACUGAAGCCGAAUAUAUGUCUCUCAGUGAAGCUGUUAAGGAGGCAAUAUGGCUUAAGGGGUUGUUAAAAGAUUUUGGCUAUGAGCAAAAGACUGUGGAGAUCUUUUGUGAUUCUCAAAGUGCCAUAGCUUUGUCAAAGAACAAUGUGCAUCAUGACAGAACGAAGCACAUUGACAUAAAUUAAGUAUCACAAGAUUCGUGAAGUAAUUGCGGAUGGAGUUGUGGAAGUUCAGAAGAUAUCUACAUUGAUCAACCCUGCAGAUAUCUUCACCAAGAUAGUACCCGUCAGCAAGUUCAAGUCAGCUUUGGACUCGCUGCGUGUAAAGGCUGAGUAAUCAAACUCAGGACCGGGAAAGGAAUCCUAAACUAUAACAAGUCAAGAUCAAUCUCUCUAAGGUAUCAUAGCUUCUUCUGUCCCUGUUUCAUGUUCUUACUUUACUAGGUGGAGAUUUGUUGAGAAUUAGUAAAGAAGAACACAACAUAUGAAGAAGCUUGAGGAAGAAGUAAUGCCAGCAAUGCAAUGAGACACGUCAGACGCAGGACCAUAAGACUCGAGUAGCCGUUUGCGCUUGGUCACUAAAGCAAACGUUUGAAUGGCUAAAGCAACUCUUGUCUGGUUGUGGUAAAGUUACUCGCAGGAUAAGCUCUACCCAUUUGGAGCUAGAAGACAAAUGUGAGAGGCAACUUCCUGGAAGCUGCAAAGGAGCGUCUUGAGGACUCAACGGGAAGGAUCCAGAAGGAACCUAGGUUAAGUUCUCUAUGUCUAUUUAAGCUGAGCAUUGGAGAGAGAGAGGGUUAAGAAACGCAGAGACAUUCAAUUGGGAGUAAACUUGUAUUGAGUGUUCUUAGGGAAACAGAUAGUGAAAGAGAGUGAAUCUGAGUUAGCUUUGUAAAGGGCUGUGAGGGUGAGAAAUCUCUUUGUAAAUCUCAAAGGUUAUAGUGGAUUCCGAGAAAGAUUUCCCGGCCCAGACGUAGCACCGUUGGUGUGAACUGGGUUAACAAUCUCGUGUGUGUUCUGUUUUUCGUGUUAGCAAAGUUCUUCCAUUUAUUCUAAACACUCAAAGCUCUGUUCUUUUCAAGUUCUGAUUCUAAACGAAGGUAAAAUUCAUUACAAGCCUUGGUAGAAGUUGGUCUAAACUUCACAACAUAUAUAAACAAAACAAAAAGCAAUUGAUAUAUGAAGCAAAUUUAUAUGUCUUACUAUCGAGGCUUCUUCCAUUCCAUUCUACGGUAGAACUCUAUGUCCAAGUCAAAAACACAACCCAUAAAUCUGACGCCUGUAGAGCUUGCGCCCAGCUCUCAUCAUAACCCUUGUUCUCUUACUGUAACAUAUCAUCAUCACCAGAUACAACAUUAGAUUUAGAAAAUAAAAAUAAAUUAAUUAAUUAUAAAAAAAAGUAGAAGCAAUUCAUAUAAGUAUUCACAAGAAGAUAAAACCUUGAUCUCAAAUUCAUCAGCUAUCAUGAAUAUAAGCAUAACCAAUUCAUGUUUAGAGAUCAUAUGAUAGAAAAAACCUUAAGCUUUCAUAAAUGCAGCAUACAGAAAAUCAAAUACCGAGUCAUCUACCAAAGGUGUUCUCUAAAUCCCUAGAUUAGCAAUUAUCCCUAUCUAUUGUGGAUCCGUAUAGGAAAUAAAAACGAUUAAACGCUGAAAGAAGGAACGGAGCCAGAAUACGAAAGAUCAAUGAGAGGAGAAACGUACUUCAUGUUUGUUGACGGACGAGAAGUUUAUCAAGCAAAGAGGUAUU
rnacentral:lncRNA from 1 species